AGUGAACGCUGGCGGCAGGCCUAACACAUGCAAGUCGAGCGGCAGCGCGGGGGCAACCCUGGCGGCGAGCGGCGGACGGGUGAGGAAUUCGUCGGAAUCUGCCUUUUUGUGGGGGAUAACGUAGGGAAACUUACGCUAAUACCGCAUACGUCCUACGGGAGAAAGUGGGGGACCGCAAGGCCUCACGCAGAAAGAUGAGCCGACGACCGAUUAGCUAGUUGGUGGGGUAAAGGCCCACCAAGGCGACGAUCGGUAGCUGGUCUGAGAGGAUGAUCAGCCACACUGGGACUGAGACACGGCCCAGACUCCUACGGGAGGCAGCAGUGGGGAAUAUUGGACAAUGGGCGCAAGCCUGAUCCAGCCAUGCCGCGUGUGUGAAGAAGGCCUUCGGGUUGUAAAGCACUUUUGUCCGGAAAGAAAUCCCUGGAGCUAAUACCUUCGGGGGAUGACGGUGCCGGAAGAAUAAGCACCGGCUAACUUCGUG
rnacentral:rRNA from 1 species